CUACGGGCCGCAGCAGACGAGAAAACUUUGCAAUGUGCGAAAGCACGACAAGGUUAAUCCGAGUGGUUUCUGCUAAAGGAACCUUUUGACAGUCCUAGAAACACUGUUGAAUAAGGGGUGGGCAAGUUCUGGUGUCAGCCGCCGCGGUAAAACCAGCACCUCAAGUGGUCAGGAUGAUUAUUGGGCCUAAAGCAUCCGUAGCCGGCUCUGUAAGUUUUCGGUUAAAUCUGUACGCUCAACGUACAGGCUGCCGGGAAUACUGCAGAGCUAGGGAGUGUGAGAGGUAGACGGUACUCGGUAGGAAGGGGUAAAAUCCUUUGAUCUAUUGAUGACCACCUGUGGCGAAGGCGGUCUACCAGAACACGUCCGACGGUGAGGGAUGAAAGCUGGGGGAGCAAACCGGAUUAGAUACCCGAGUAGUC
rnacentral:rRNA from 1 species